GAUCUGAAAUAAACAACAAAGGGGCGUAAUUCUUACAGCAAUAACAAAAAAAACAAGGACAAUUAAUAUCCUCCGAGUUAUUGUGUAAAACGCCAUGGGGCUGUUCAAAUACGAAGUUGCUUGCGAAAAAAUAAGGCGGAAUUUACUUGAUUGCCUGCUUCAGUCAGAAUGUUACAAAGUCGAAAACAAAACCCCUAGAGAAUGUAUGGAGAGAGGUCAGGAUAUGCCAGAUGAAUGUAAGCAGCACCGGAAAGCACUUUAUAAGUGCAAAAGAUCUCAGAUAGACACUAGAACUCGAUUCAGGGGAAAGCAUGACCUGUAAAGUCUUGUUUUAAAACUGUGUAAGGUACUGUUUGUUUGUGGUUUAAACUCAUUUCUGAAGGUGUGCAUUUACUUUGUUGUGAAGACUUGAAUGAUGAAUUCAUAGGUAUUUGCAUGUGUUAUGAAUAAUAAUAACAAAAACACAUCAUGCAACUUGUCACAUGUAGAUCCAAUGGUUAUUAUGGUGUGUGCUGUUUUGCUAUAUCUGAGUCAUUAUACAUGUAAAUAGCUGACAUAAACAAAUACAUGUAUGAUGAAAGUAUUAACGAUAUGAAAUGUAAUUUACAGUCUAAUGUAUGAAUUUAACAUACUGACUGUUAUAAAAGCGCACAAAAAGA